rnacentral:rRNA from 1 species
GUCUACAGCCAUGCCACCCUGAAGGUGCCCAAUCAUCUGAUCUCCGAAGCUAAGCCGAGUCCGGCCUGGUUAGUACUUGGAUGGGAGACAAUGAGGAAUGAGGGAAGAAGGCAAGAGCAAUAGAAA